UAUUAUUAUGUACUUAUUGCACUAUUGCAGACAUAACGUUACCUACUCGCGGUUACUCGUUAGUCAUUUUUCUUUUUAAUUUAAGUUAUAUAGUUGAUCAGUGUUACAUACUAUAUUCCUUAGUUCUUAUAUAUUGCAUAGUACAUACAGUGAAGACAGACGUUUACGUGCUGCUAUUAAUUUUUUUCAUUGGGCAAUUCCAAAAAAGUACAUAAAAGCGGAAAUGCUAAAUAAAAAAAAAAAAAAAGGAGAAAGAUUUGCUUAGAAAGGAAGGUCAAAACCCUAAGCAAAAAAAAAUUAAAUUUUGUAAAAUCAAGUGAAAAUAAUUUUGAAAAAAUGUAACAGUAGUGUUAUUGAAAACGAAAGAGAAAAUCUGAAUAGUGAUAAUGAUGUCAAUACUUCAAAACAAGACAAUAAAAAAAAUCAAGUUAAUACAACUGAAGAUGUAGAAAAUGUUAUUACCUUGGAAAUAGUUGAAACCUGUUCAAAUAUUGAUAAUGAGGCUACUGAUAUGUUUAUAAAACUUAGAAGUAUUAAUGUUACAAGCUUUUGGUCAUUUUAUCUUUAUCAACUGGAAACAAACAUUCCAUUCAUACUUUCAAAAUUGUACAACUGUAAGGAUGGAGGUCAUCGUAAAUGGAUAUCUUAUUGAAUUAAGAAAAAAGUUUUAUUUUGCAAUAUAUGUCUUUGUUAUGGUGAUGGUUCAGGAUCAUUUUCCUAAGGAUUUUCUGUCUGAAGGAAACGAAAUAAAUGGAGCUGCAAAUAUGCUAGAAGUUAAUAAUGGAUUUUCCGCAAAAAUGAGCGAAGCAGCGGUUGAACAAGUACAUGUAUGGUGUUAUGCACAUGUAAUAAAUUUAGUUAUUAGUGAUAUUACAAGCAAAAUUGUCCAAUCUAUUUUUUUGUUUGAUAUUUUGCAAUGAUGUGAAGAAUUUAUACGUGGGUCAUAUAAACGUAUGAACAACCAAAAAUUCCAAAAAAAAAAAUGUACAAUCGGCAAAACAAGAUGGUGUUCCAAAGAUGCAGCAAUGACAAAGGUUUUUGAAAUUUUAAUGAACCCGAAAAUGGAUUGUACGCUGAUCUUAUAACUACAUUAGAUGAAACUGAAAAUAAUUUAGGUAUAAUUCCAGAUGCUCGAUUCGAAGCAAAAAAUUUAAAAGGUUUGUUAAAAUAUGCAAUUAUUUUAACUGCCCAGGUGUACUUGCGAAUUUUUAAAAAAACCACUCCUCUAUCAAUAUAUUCACAAGGGCAUGGAGUUAAUAUAAUUGCAGCUUAUCAAAUGGUGAAACAAACUUUGAAUGACUUGCAAGACUGUGCCCGACAGUUUCAAUGUAUGAAAAAAGCAGCUAAUACUUUUGUUGAAUAUAGUAAUAAAAAGUUUGAUAAAAUGGAGAGUAAUACUUUAGAAAUUCUAAAUGAGCUACCUCAUAGUAGAAUAAGAAAAAAAAAGGCAAUUUACUGACUAUGAAUCAAUAUAUGAUCCUAUUACAGAUCCAUUACGUGCAUUUGAAAUCAAUGUUUACAACCAAGUAUUUGAUAUUGUUAUUGAAAAUAUUUCAUCAAGAUUUGAAAAACAUGAACAACUAUGUGCCGAUUUUUCUUGCCUCGACUAAAACAAUUUUCAACCAAAUUUACCACUUCUAACAAAUGCUUUAAUAAAAGUAUUUGAAAAAAUCAGAAAUUUUAUUCCGGACAUAACUUAUGAUGAUCUUAGAAAUGAAUAUAUUGACUUUACAUCUAAAUGGAGAGUUUAAAAAAACCAUUGCUUGUGUACAUGAUGAACUAAAUAAUCAAGUUACUGAUGAUGUAUGUAUGUAUGUAAUGAUUCAGAAAAUGGUUAUCUAUAUUUAUUUUUACGACUCAAGAGUGAUGAUGAUAUUAUAGUAUAUGUGCAUAGUUCCAGUGCCAAGUGUUGUGUUACAUGCUGUUUUGAAGUGUUGGUGAAAUAUAAUUUAUAUGCAAAUACAUAUCGUGGCCUCUACUUUGCAUAUAAAUUUAUGCUUACUUUAUCCAUUACACAAGUGAAAUGUGAACGUACAUUUUCUAAAUUAAAAUUUGUAAAAAAUUAUUUAAGAAAUACAAUAAGUCAAAAUGUAUUAGAGAGUAUGUUGUUAAUGAAUGUAGAGAAAGAUAUUCUCAAAAAAA
rnacentral:misc_RNA from 1 species